AGCGAACGCUGGCGGCAGGCCUAACACAUGCAAGUCGAACGAACCUUUCGUAGGUGGUUGCGGACGGGUGUGUCACACGUCGGAACGUUCAUUUAUGUUCGGGAUACCUCAUGGACACGGGUGCUAAUACCGAAUGUGCCCUGCUGGUGAAGGAUUUAUCGCCUUUAGAGCGGCACGCGUCUGCUUAGCUAUUUGGUUGAGGUAAUGGCUCACCAGGGCUACGAUCAGUAGGUGGUAUGAGAGAAUGAUCAGAGACAUUGGGACUGAGACGCGGCACAAACUCCUACGGGAGGGGGGAGUGGGGGAUCUUGCGAAACGGGCGAAAGGCUGACGCAGCUAGGCCGGGUGAAUGAUGAAGGUCUUAGGAAAGAAAAAUUCUUUAACCGGGGACGAUAAUGACGGUACCCAGAGAAGAAGCCCCGGCUAACUUCGUG
rnacentral:rRNA from 1 species